AGCGAACGCUGGCGGCAGGCUUAACACAUGCAAGUCGAGCGGGCAUCCUUGUGGUGUCAGCGGCAGACGGGUGAGUAACGCGUGGGAACGUGCCCUUCGAUUCGGAAUAACUCAGGGAAACUUGAGCUAAUACCGGAUACGUGCGAGAGCAGAAAGGUUUAUCUGCCGAAGGAUCGGCCCGCGUCUGAUUAGCUAGUUGGUGAGGUUACGGCUCACCAAGGCGACGAUCAGUAGCUGGUCUGAGAGGAUGAUCAGCCACACUGGGACUGAGACACGGCCCAGACUCCUACGGGAGGCAGCAGUGGGGAAUAUUGGACAAUGGGGGCAACCCUGAUCCAGCCAUGCCGGGUGAGUGAUGACGGCCUUAGGGUUGUAAAGCUCUUUUCUCCGGGACGAUAAUGACGGUACCGGAGGAAUAAGCCCCGGCUAACUUCGUG
rnacentral:rRNA from 1 species